rnacentral:lncRNA from 10 species
UUUCUACUCUGUGUCCAAGUGUUGAAUUCCUCCUACCCUGUGAGAGGAUGACUACCCAGAAAUGACCUCUGGGGUUAUCUUGGACUUGAAUGGUGCAGAGGUAACAACUGAUGGUGUGGAGCCUACAAAUGAAUGUGAAAAGCAACAGGUCUUCCCCCGCCAGUCUCCCUUGCAGCAACCCCGCAGGAAGGCAGUGAGAUGAAAAGCCAGAAGGCUUCACAACAGAUGGAAGUUACAGAAGAAGACCAAUUUGGGAUUGAUAGCAGGAAAACCUCUUUCUAAAUACAGGCAUCUGCACAUAAAAAGAUAGCCCACCCUACAGGUACAAAUACAGUCAGUUCAGAGUUGACACUCACUUUCAAGGAUGUUUUGUCCUGGCUGAUUCCGAUGGCGUGUGAAUUGCUGGUCUGGAUCCCGGGCAGCUGCUCUUUGCUGGGUGUCAUUCCUGUCACUGUGAGGACACUGGCAAACCAAAGAGAUUGGUCCUUGUCUUUGGGACUCCUAGAGUUGAGGACAGAUAAUGCAUAGGAAGAAUCAGGUUUCUUACUUCCUGGUCACAAAAUGGCUGCCGAAGUCCAUAAGCUAAAUCCUAAUGUGAGUGAACAUGAUCAAGGAUUCAUGACUACAACCCCAAAAUACGGCACUUCUGCCUGUGUGGAAACAACAGAAGCAGGAAGAUUACUCUCAUUUUUCUCUGGCCUUUUUCCCUUGAAGCAGACUAUAAAGAAGAAUCUGACCUUCCUCUGAAGGAAACCUUCAUUCCAGACAUACCCUCCCUAUAUCCAAAGAACAUCUUUAUCUUUAAAGACACAGAGAUGUCAAGAAGAAUCUGAACAAACAGGCUUUGCCAGAUCCCCCAGUUUACUAAUAUUGAACCAUACUCUUUUGUUCUUCAAUCAUACUUCUGCAUGAUGUCCAUAAAAAUACACAGUUUUCCCCAUUCCUUUUGGGUAUUUAUUCCCGAAAGCUUCUGUGUCAUGUAAAACUUA